rnacentral:rRNA from 1 species
AUUGAACGCUGGCGGCAGGCCUAACACAUGCAAGUCGAGCGAGCGGCGGACGGGUGAGUAAUGUCUGGGAAACUGCCUGAUGGCGGGGGCUAACUACUGGAAACGGUAGCUAAUACCGCAUACCAUCAGAUGUGCCCAGAUGGGAUUAGCUGGUCGGUGGGGUAAAGACUCACCUAGGCGACGAUCCCUAGCUGGUCUGAGAGGAUGACCAGCAACACUGGAACUAAGACACGGUCCAGACUCCUACGGGAGGCAUAAGUGGGGAAUAUUGCACAAUGGGCGCAAGCCUGAUGCAGCCAUGCCGCGUGUAUGAAGAAGGCCUUCGGGUUGUAAAGUACUUUCAGCGGGGAGGCGUUACCCGCAGAAGAAGCACCGGCUAACUCCGUGCCAGCAGCCGCGGUAAUAC